UACUCAUGGCCCUAGUCUGUCUGGGCUCUGGGGUGAGUGUCCUCUAUACUCUUCCAGAAAAGGAAGAGCUCGAAGAAAAUCAAAAUGUCAAUCUCAAUCUCGAUCUCUUCGCUCACCUCAUACUUGUCUUCACUUUCUUUCUCUUCUCAAGUUUCGCAAAAACCAAACACCCUCUCAUUUUCCCGUUCAAAAUCCCUUUCGUUCUCGCCCUCCCCCAAACCUCUUCUUGUCUCCGCCACGGUUGCGUCACCCGUGGAAUCCGAGACCACUGACCUCAAGAAAUUGGUUAAGUCGAGGCUCCCCGGUGGAUUCGCCGCCCAACCCAUCAUCGGCACCGGCCGCCGUAAAUGCGCCAUUGCUCGAGUCGUUCUUCAAGAAGGCACAGGCAAAGUCAUCAUCAAUUACCGCGACGCCAAGGAAUAUCUUCAAGGUAACCCUUUAUGGCUUCAAUACAUAAAGGUCCCAUUGGUAACCCUGGGGUACGAGAGCAGCUAUGAUGUAUUUGUCAAAGCUCAUGGUAGUGGUCUAUCUGGUCAGGCACAAGCAAUCUCUCUUGGCAUCUCCCGUGCAUUGCUAAAGGUGAGUGAGAGCCAUAGAUCCCCUUUGAAAAGGGAAGGGCUACUGACUAGGGAUUCGAGGGUAGUUGAGAGGAAGAAGGUUGGUCUCAAGAAAGCUCGCAAGGCUCCACAGUAUUCUAAACGUUGAAGUUUGAUUUUAUUGUUUUACUUUCUGUCUAGCGGCUUUUUGUUUCUAUACGGUAUACAUCUCUGUAAUGCUGUAUUUAAGCAAAUUAACUUUAUGUUCAG
rnacentral:misc_RNA from 1 species